rnacentral:pre_miRNA from 1 species
UCUUAUGUAUGAACAAAGAAAGUAGUUUCUUGAGAUGAAAUCUACUCCUAGUAAAGAUGUUAUGAA